AUAGGGUGGAAAAAAGUGUGUGUGUGUGUGUGUGUGUGUGUGUGGGGGGGUAUUAAUGAAGCACCGUGAAUACAUCAUACUGCAUCCAUAAAGUAUAUCCAACACUUGACCCUUUCCACAACCUUACUCCAAAAGUAAAUUCUUCAUUCAAAAAUAAGACAUUUAU